rnacentral:rRNA from 1 species
GACGAACGCUGGCGGCGUGCUUAACACAUGCAAGUCGAACGGAAAGACCCUGCUUUUUUGGGGUUCUCGAGGGGCGAGCGGGUGAGUAACACGUGAGUAACCCGCCCUUGAGUUUGGGAUAACUUCAGGAGAGUGGGGAUAAUACCGGAUACGAGCUCCUGCUGCUUGGUGGGGGUUGGAACGUUUCGGCGGUGUGGGAUGGACUCGCGGCUUAUCAGCUUGUUGGUGGGGUAGUGGCUUACCAAGGGUUUGACGGCUAGCCGGCCUGAGAGGGCAACCGGCGACAUUGGGACUGAGGUAGGGCCCAGACUCGAAUGGGGGGCAGCAGUGGGAAGUAUUGUCCAGUGGGGGGACGUGUGUGACGGAAACGCCCCGUGCGGAAUGCAGUCCUUGGGGUUGUAAACGGCUUUAGCUUGUGACGAAGCGUUAGUGACGGUACCGGCAGAAGAAGCACCGGCUAACUACGUG